rnacentral:rRNA from 1 species
GAUCUGGCUCAGAUUGAACGCUGGCGGCAGGCUUAACACAUGCAAGUCGAACGGUAACAUAAAGAAGCUUGCUUCUUUGAUGACGAGUGGCGGACGGGUGAGUAAUGCUUGGGAAUCUAGCUUAUGGAGGGGGAUAACUACGGGAAACUGUAGCUAAUACCGCGUAAUAUCGAAAGAUUAAAGUGUGGGACCUUCGGGCCACAUGCCAUAAGAUGAGCCCAAGUGGGAUUAGGUAGUUGGUGAGGUAAAGG